rnacentral:rRNA from 1 species
CGAAAGACGGCCAUAGUGAUCCGGUGGUCCCAAGUGGGAGGGCCAUCGCUCAACGGAUAAAAGGUACGCCGGGGAUAACAGGCUGAUGAUGCCCAAGAGUCCAUAUCGACGGCAUUGUUUGGCACCUCGAUGUCGGCUCAUCGCAUCCUGGGGCUGGAGCAGGUCCCAAGGGUUUGGCUGUUCGCCAAUUAAAGCGGUACGCGAGCUGGGUUCAGAACGUCGUGA